ACAAUCUCCCCAGGAACAAGGAGAUUGGAGCUCGAUUCUACUCCUCCAGGUUGCAGGCAGAGCCAAAUACACUGAGAGGCUUAACAUUCCAGAUUAAUUCUUCCCUCCAGUGGUUUGCAAAAGCUGUGAGUUUGAAAAGAAACAAACUCAAACUUUGAGAGUAAGAGUAGGGAAGUGGGAGAUGGUACUGUUUCAGACAAGGGUGGGGUUGGUGGACAUUUCGCAACAAAGCCCCAGUGGCACAGGCUGUAUUUGGGCUUUCCUGCUGCAUUGAGAGGUCAGCAAGAUUGCCUUGGCUGGGAACCAAACUCAUCCUGGUUUCCUGUCUUGGGAUCUCAAGGGGCUAGAAUGAGCUGCUAUUCCAAGGGAGAGAAGAAAGCAACCCCAGGAAGCCUGGCCCCGAAGACUGUGAGGUAUGGUGGGGCCUUGCUGUGCUCUGGACUGGACAAGAGGCACCCUGGGCUCUGGACACAGCCAGAUCUUCAGCCAAUUGCAUCUCCGGCCCAGGGCAGGCCCUUUAUCUUAUAGCCCAGUGGUGCCUCUCUCCUCACCUAGGAAACAAAGCCAACAGGAUCUGCACCACCUCUGCCUCCCGGACAUUGGAAGGACUAAAUAAGAUCAGAGACCUCAUUCCUAGAUGGAACGAGGAAUGGUAGCGACCACGAUCCUCCCCUCCCAGGAUCUGCGCCACAAGGGAAGAUCAGAACCUUCAGCUGCCAGAAGCACUGUGGCGGAAAUGUAGGUCCCCAUCCAGGCUGAUCUGAGCUUGGCUUUCUGGAGCACGCAAACCUCGAUGCACUGAACUGCUGCCGGACCUCACCUUGCCAGGCCCACUGUGCUCACACUCACACAUCGCUCCAUCCACUGGAGGCUGCAGAGGCAAGAUCCACCAAGAAGAUGGUCUUCCUGUCCAGGAUGCCCUUCCCUGAGAGAAGUGUAUUUAAUCUUAAAUUCAGAUGUUUGUUUGUCUACCCACUUAAAACACCCUGUUGAAUAAAAAUUACUCAAGGAACACAUGGAGGCUUUGUCCAUGUAAAAGAACAAA
ensembl:lncRNA LINC01736 long intergenic non-protein coding RNA 1736